rnacentral:rRNA from 1 species
GUGAGCUCGAUGAGUAGGGCGGGACACGUGGUAUCCUGUCUGAAUAUGGGGGGACCAUCCUCCAAGGCUAAAUACUCCUGACUGACCGAUAGUGAACCAGUACCGUGAGGGAAAGGCGAAAAGAACCCCGGCGAGGGGAGUGAAAAAGAACCUGAAACCGUGUACGUACAAGCAGUGGGAGCACGCUUAGGCGUGUGACUGCGUACCUUUUGUAUAAUGGGUCAGCGACUUAUAUUCUGUAGCAAGGUUAACCGAAUAGGGGAGCCGAAGGGAAACCGAGUCUUAACUGGGCGUUAAGUUGCAGGGUAUAGACCCGAAACCCGGUGAUCUAGCCAUGGGCAGGUUGAAGGUUGGGUAACACUAACUGGAGGACCGAACCGACUAAUGUUGAAAAAUUAGCGGAUGACUUGUGGCUGG